GACGAACGCUGGCGGCGCGCUUAACACAUGCCAGUCGAACGGAAAGGCCUGCUUUCCCUUGUGGAUUGCGGGUACUCGAGUGGCGAACGGGUGAGUAACACGUGAGUGAUCUGCCCCCAACUUGGGUAUAAGCCUGGGAAACUGGGUCUAAUUCCCGAUAGGACUGCAGUGUGGUGCCUGUGGUGGUAAACGGUUUUCUAGUGGUUGGGGAUGAGCUCGCGGCCUAUCAGCUUGUGGGUGGGGUAAUGGCCUACCAAGGCGGCGACGGGGAGCCGGCCAGGGAGGGGGGAAGUCAACAUUGGGACCAGGAUACGGCCCGGACUCCUACGGAGGGCAGCAGGGGGGAACAUUGGACAUUGGGCGGAAGCGUAAUGCAGCAACGCCGCGUGGGGGAUGACGGCUUUCGGGUUGUAAACUCCUUUCGACCGCAAGGAAGCCACGUGGAUGGAAGGGUGGUGACGGUAGUGGUAGAAGAAGCACCGGCUAACUACGUG
rnacentral:rRNA from 1 species